CUGGAGUCUAACUAUUUCCUACUGGAACCUUACACUCGACUAGAACUGAGUUUGUCAAGUAACAGAUAACCAAUAUGAGAGGGAGCAGCCUAGUGCAGGCGACGAUGGUAUUCUUCAUUGGAUGCCUUGUGCUUUGUGCACAGUGUGCUCUCGAUAAUAAGCAAAUGAUGGUCAACCAAGAUGAUCAUGCGACGAACACAAGUACCAACGCUACCAUCGUCAACUCAACAUCUGUAGGCGAGAGCAACAAAACCGAGCAAUUUUGCAGCCUCUAUCUCGUAUGUUAUUUCAACUUUGAGCUCCGUGCUAAGUGCUACUGUUGCCAGAAUAAGAAUGGCGACUGUUACAAGACGAAGAGUGAGUGCCUGAAGAAGUGCCAUUCCUACAACGGUUAAUGCCCACCAUAUGCUCGGAAAAUUUGUCCAUCGGUAAUAAAAGGCACCUUAUAUGGUUUGGGCAAUUAGGUUCCAAUUAAACAUUAGAUAGCCCGCAUGUUUCCGUGGAGAUCCAGCAAGGAAAAAUUUGACGAAAGAAAUCCAA